ACGACAUGGCCAAAGGGAAAGCGAAGUUCAGCAGUGAAAGCGUAGCUGCACCACAGCCUAGAUCACUCAGGUCAAGAAAGAGGGAAUGUCCAAGUGAGGAGCUUUCUGUGGAUGCUGAAGCUCCUCUCCAUCAACAGGACUCUAAAGGAAACAAUACAGCAGUGGUCAGGACACAUGUUCAGAGUCUCGAGUCCCCUCUGCAGGAAUGUGCUACUAUUACAAGUCAUCUACUUCAGGCAGCAGAGCAGUCCUGUCCCACCAAACACGACGCCUUCACUGAAGAAAAGCAGGCAGAAAACAAGAUGGAAGCUCCUGACGAGCUGAAAGAGAAUCCAGCCACCUGUCCCAACCAGGAUCCCCAGCCACAAGGCUGUAUAAUAAAUCUUGAAAAUGGUGUUGGAAAGAAAGAAAUACAACCAGAAAAAGUAACCGUACUGGUAUCCGAUACACUCACUGAUCAUCAACAAGUGCUAACUGCUGAAGAUGCUGAUGGAUUCUGUGUAGACGCUUUGGAGAAGCAACUUGAUGCAAAGACAACGUCUUAUUGUAACUUGGAGAGCCGCCAUGAAAGCAGCCAAGACAAACCGAGCCAGGUGUGUGUGGAUGACUUUAGAGACGUUGCAUUGGGCUUACCUGUCAGGAAGAAGCGAAGGAUGGGUAUGUGUGGUCUGACAGAGAAGGAGCGCAGUUAUUUUCUACAGACACAAAAGCGGGAAAAUGGGCACAGCGAAGUAGAGGUUGAAAAGCAGCUUUGUAAUAACGCGGUGGACCCUGUGGCUCAGGAUGACACUGUAACUCCAGCCCCUUCGGCAGAGAUACAACUUCAGUCCAGCCUCUGUGGAGGGGAUACAAGGACAGAAACUGAAGUCACUACGUUAGAUGGGACCGGUGCUUUGGUCCAUUCGGACGGCUCUGAGGGAAAGACCAGUGAGGCUGAGGAAAGCACAGUGACAGAACAACAGUCAAAUCAAGGUGCAGAGAAGACAGUGGGCAGCCCUUCAAUGAGUCUGAAGGAACAGGAACAAGAGGAAGCUAUACCUGUGAAACAACGAGAAGAUGGGGAGGAGGACUCAGCACGUUUUGACCGCAUUCCUUUCACCACCAAUUACACUAAAACAUCUCAGAAUGAAGAGACUGAGAAAAAGAACAAUGGGAGUGAGACUGACAGUCUGCUGGUAGGUGUGACUGGGAUGAGAGAUGAGAUGAUGGAUGACAAUGGAGUCGAAGCAGGCGCUGCCGCCACAGACUCAGUGGGAUUCAACUGUGUGAAGCUGAAUUGUGCUCUUUAUGUGGAACCUGCUGCUGGUUCUUCCACUGUGAACACAGAGCACAAUGAGACCGGAGACACCAUGGAGCCGUUUGGAUCACAGCACUUUGAUGAUGUUUCAGACUCACAGCUGAACUCCAUUGCUCUGAUGGAGGAGAAGAGGAUGGGGAAAGAGGAAGAUGCUGGUUUCUCAUCCUGUCCACAGGAUACCACAAACCACAAAGAUGCCACAAACCUGGUCUGUGGGCUCAUCAGAGAACUCUCCUCUUUAAAUCGAAAGGUCAUGGCCGCACACAGGGAGCUGGAGAACCUGCGCCGUGGUAGUUCCAGGAGCUCCACACACUGAGGACACUGAGCCUAAUGUUGCCUGGAGGGUUCAUUGUUCCACUGUUAAUGAAUAUUUUAGUUUAUUAUAUUUUGUAUAUCGUUUAGACUGAGAAGUCAGGCGUUCCUGUUCCAAUAAAGCUGGUUGUAUAACUCA
ensembl:lncRNA uncharacterized LOC114856953